rnacentral:lncRNA from 1 species
UGUGCCUGUGUAUGUGCACAUAAACAGUGUCUUUGAGGGCUUGGCAAUCUGUGUUGAUGUUAUUGAAGCUCUGCACCUGACUUCUGGUCACUUUUCUGUUACUGACCAGCUAAAUAACUUUGAGUAAGUCAUUGAACUUAUUUGGACACUAGUUCCAUCAACUGUUAGAUAUGAGGAUGGGAAUGGAUUGUCUCAAAGAUCCUUUUGAGUUCAAAAAGUCUAUGAUACCAGUGAGAAUGUUCCAAAGCCUUAAUGACACCUCACUGAAUGCAGCUUAAAAUGGCUGCAAGCUGACCAGACGAUUGCAUUCUCCAAGGUGAGCUGCCCUUCAUACCUCAUGCCCUUGAAUAAUGCAGCGUAAGUGUGUUUAUUGUGCCAGCUCUUCUUGUAGUUUUAUUCUAAUCCCUCGUCUCAGGCAACAUUUGUUUUGGCUGCAGUUCGAUACUUCCUCCUUCAGAGCUAUGCUUGGUUUUACCUCUAAUUCUGUGGCCCUCAGGGGCUGGUUGUACUGAUAAACUUUUACAAGUAAAAGGAGCUGUGGAGAUGACCUCCAGCUGGGGCUGAAGGCCUAUACAGCAGCACCUUCUUGCUGAAGCUAAGUGAUCCUCUUGGGGAGGAGGGUUGGGGGUCCAGGGCCCCUGAAGUCAGGAUUCCCCAGUGAGUUGGUCAAUGUGGACUUAGAUCUUGUUGAAAUAUCCAGAAGUAUUUCUAAGUAGAAUAUUUUUGAUCACAGAAACAAGGUAAAUAUUUUUGUCUUCCUUCAGUGGAGGACUUUGGAGCUCUCAGGUGGCUGCUCUCCAUCCCAGGCCUGGCUGUAGGAGGCUACCUGGGUGGGGUGCAGGCCCAUGCCUGGGGUCCUGGCUCCAGAGGCACCACAUGCCACUCAGUGAGGAUAAGAAUCCAUUCUGCAGCUUCUUUCAGCCCCACAUCAAUAAAUGGAGACAGUGGGAAGGGAGCUGUGCUACUUUGAAGGAUUUGGGGGCAGACUAAGAAGAAAACACAUGUGAAAGUGCUUUGUAAGGAUGAGUGCAUGGCGGGGCGACGAGGGGCGUUGGAGGCACAUGCAGCUGGGUAGGAGUUGCACUUUGGUCAUUGGCCAGUUAUGUGGCUUUGGGAACUGUUCAGACUUCUGGAUCUUGGCUUCCUUUUUUGUUAAGUAGGUGAUGAUAGGGAUCUCAUUGGGCUGCUGUGAGGAUGAGGUGUGUUUACAGUGCUUGGCAAAGAGUGGGGCUCCAUGCACAUAACUCCAUUUCCUCUACAUCUACAUUGCUCUGCAAACGAAGGGUGCUAUGACAAUAAACCCACCCCAAGGCCAAAGGAGGGGCGUGCUGGGGGUGGAGAGGGAUGGCUGGGAACUAACUAGCCGGCAUCAGCAAAGGAGGGAUUGUUUUGGUCUUUGUAGGAAAUUAGGAGGAUUGCCUUUCUCAUCUAUUACUUCCAAUGAGUUCUGAUGUUCUGGGGAAUCUUCUCUGAAUGAAUCCUGGUAUUGCUUCAUUUAUACUAUAACUCUGUAGUAUAACUAUAUCCUGUGUAAUCCAAGCCAAAGAUAGAGGGUUUGGGGACGACAGAUAUUUCAACAAUAGUCACUGAGGCAAGGAAUUGUGGAUUCUAGGAUGAGGCAGCAGGUGAAGGGCUUUGGUGCCCACACAGAGGAGAAGAGGGCAACUGGAGCGAGGAAAUGUCUUGCUGUCCUGCCGUUUAGCUCUGGAAGUGUCUCUUGGGACAAUCUUGGAGAAACGUCAACUGAAGUGCUAGUUUAGUAGCAGGGUAGCUGAGUCCUAGCAGUGUUUCGCAUUUCUCCAGUGAAAGCCCUAGAGGACUUGGAUGUCCCCAUCUCUAAAGACACCGGUGGCGGCAGAGGCCCAGCUUCUAAACACUCAGGGUCACACAGGCAUUGGUGCUUGGUAAACGUUUUCUUAUAUAAUUUCAAAGCCAUCUGUGACAUGGCUGUAUCAUCCCCAUUCUACUAGUGAGAAAACCAAUGCCAGGGGAUGGAAAAACAACUUCCUUAUGGUCACACUGCCAGUCAGUGCCUGGUGGGACCCAAGCUGGGCCCCAAUCCCCCAUGUCCCCCUUGGCACCUGUCCUGCUUUAGGGAAGAUGGUCUGUGGUCAAAGCUUAAUCUUUGCUUUGAUAAAGGAUUAAUUCAAAUUUUGGAAUGAAAAGAAGAGAUUUUGAAGCCCUAAAACUGUACUGUGUGACAAAACUCCUGUUCUUGGGAUAUGGUGGCAGAAGUAAGGGAAAGUGUCAGAAAAAGUCCCGCAAGGUGAGAAAAACUGAAAAAGAGACCCCUUUCCUAUAGAGGCUCACGAAGGGGAAAUUGCAACUGUGCGACCCUGUCUGCUAGCUUUCUCUGUCACUUCAUCCCCCAUUCCUGUUGCUGUGUGCACUUUUAUCCAACCCUCUUAAUGUCCAUGGCUGCGCUACCAGCAAAAUCUAACCCCAUCUGCUUGGCUAAGCUUCUUGCGCUCACCUAUACCUGAGGAGUACGACAUCAGGCUUCAGGGCUUAUUGAAGUCAUUACUCACAUCAUUGCACUAAUCACAAACAGAAGUGAAAGUUGUAAAUUGUAUAUAAUUACAUUUCAUAGAGAAAAAAGUAGAUUUAAAAAUGGCAAUUAAUAUUCUUAAUAGCCAAAAGUUAUUGCUAAUUAAUAAGAAAAACAUAAGCACUCCAAUUGAAAAAAAAUGAGCAAAGGUCAUAAAGACAUAAAACUCGCCUGUGGAAACAUACGUAGAGGAAACACAGAAUUAGUGAGUGUGUGUAUGGAAAUAAAUGGAAGGAUAAUGCUUGCUACCCAGUGUGGGCUUUGGGGGUAGAUCUACCUGGACUGAGUUCUGGAUUCACUAUUUACUAGCUCCAUGACCUUCAGCAAAGUAACCUCUCUAAGCCUUUGUUUUUAUCUGUAAAAUAGGGAUACUUAUUUUCCCUGCCUUGAGGGGUUAUUGUGAGGAUAAAAGAAAAUAAUUCUGUAAAGGGCUUAGUAAAGUGCCUGGUGCAGAGAAAUUUUUCAGUGCAGAUUAGCAAUUGUCACUGCUAGUAGUAUAUUUGCAUUGAUAACAAUUAGUAAUUUAACAUCUCACUGAAAUCAAAGAAAUGCAAUUAAAACAACAAAUACAUAUUAUUUGUUACUUAUCAGAUUGGAAAACAGGUGAAAAGAUUGACAGUAACCACUGUUGGUUAGAUGUGGAGAGAUGGGUUCUCUUGUGCAAUUCUGGGAUGGUAGGACCUGAUGCCCCAUUUCUGCAGGGCAAUUUGGCAAUAUACAUUAACGUUGAACAUUCUGAUAGUUUUUGACCCAGUCAUUCUUCUCUCAGAAACUUAUUCCUGGGAGAUAACUGAACAAAUGCACAAUAAUGAAUAUAUAAGAAUGUUUAUCCUGGCAUUUUUUUUUAUAGAAACAAAAAUUCAGAAGCAACUUAAACAUCCUUCAGUGAGAUUGACUAAUAAGUCCUGCUUCAUUUUUAUGACAGAAUGCUACUACUAAUAGCAGUGUUCUAGAUUUUCAUCCACCAUCAUGGAUAAAGCUCUCCGUCAUGUGGAUGGUCUAUGAUUCAUGCAAGAAGACAGAACCAAUGUUUUGCAAGACCUUCCCAUGAAGUAGAAAGAACAGUAGUGUUCACUCCAUAAGAGGCGUGCGCUACCACUUGCCUUGCCUCAUGGGCAAUGAGGAAGUUGCAUGGGUUUCCUACGGCUCUGCAGGGGUGGAGUGAGCCAGAAAGAACUGGUCAGCCCUAGACAUUCAGGUGCUAUCAAAUACCAGCCCUAGGGUCAAGAACACUUAAAAACAAAACAAACUUGAAACUUCCUUUGCUUGUGUUGCUUAGAAUCACUGCGGUAGGAGGAUUCCUGAGGCAUUACCUGGAUAGUCUCAUCUGGCUGGACAUGCAGGAGAACUGGGAGACUGCCGAGACUGCCACGUGGGGUGACUUGAGGGAUCUUUGACACUCUCUGUCUUAAUCUGUUUUGUGUUGCUAUAACAGAAUACACAGACUAAGUAAUUUAUAAAGAAAGGAAAUUUACUUCUCACAGUUUUGGAGGCUGAGAAGUCCAAGACUGAGGGGCUGGCAUCUGACGAGGGCCUUCUUGCUGCUUCAUUCCACGGCAAAAUGGCAAAGAGAAGAUGAGAAGAAAGGCUCAAAGGGACGGUGGGACUUGACUGAGGACCCAGCACCUCCUGGACCUGAAUCAAGGCCCUCUGUCCCGCUGCUUUUGUUGUUGUUUACCCUGCAACUUCACAGCCCUUCAGAAGGCCCUGGACAUCAUGUGCAAGCUCCGUGGAUGGCCUGAGAUUCAUCCUUCCAAGUUGUUUUCUGACUGAGAGGCAACAUUUUAAAUUGUGAUCCCCCCUUACCCCACCACACACACUGAAACAAAAGUUUCAAGAAGUCAUUACCACACAAUGACUCAGAUAUGUUCUAGUCUAGUCUGUCUAUUCCAUUCCAUUCCAGUCUCUUUCCAAACGAAAAUAAAAGGAAGGAAAUGCUGCAUGCGACUUGGUAAGUUAAUUUCAGGACACCUUGGGACUGCUUCCUGCUGCAUGAGGCAUCAGCACACAGCAGGGGAUAUUUUGCAUUCCUGUGUGCACCGUGGGUUAGACAGGCUGCUUGGCCCUAAGUGGAGAAUGGAACUCCAGUAGAAAGGCUGAGAUGCACUGCAAGUAACCACUGCAGAAAGGAGAGGAUGCCCACAGGCAGGCUGAAGUGGACCCGUGUGGAAGGAACACUUCAAGACCACUGGCCAAGAGACUUCCUUCAUUUUUAUCCCUUCCUGUUUUUCGCCUGUGCUGAGGAUUCACCACCAGUGUGGGGAGCCUCUGACUGUAAAAGGAAAGCUGACUCUGGCUCCUUCGUGUUUUCUGUUAAGUUGGGGCCUAAGUUUUUCUGCCAGCCUUUGCGGAGGAAAUGCAGCUUCCCUGGCACACUGCCCGGUCAAGGGACGUUGAAUCCAUUGCAAUCAGCAGUUGAAGAUCCACACUACAGGCCAUGUUCUUAAAAUAAGUGGCUCCAGGACUUCCAAGAGGCAGAAGGGGCUUCAGCUGGCCAUGGGCAGGAUCCAAGUGGAGCUUCAUCCCUGCAGAGCAAUGCCUGGCUCUCAGCGGAGGCAGUCUGGAGCAGGGCUUCUACCCUUUUCAGCUCAUAGAUUACUUUGGAAUCUGAUGAACACUGGGAGCCUUCUCCUUAGAAGAACAUACAUAUGCACGAGAAUGAGACAAUUACAUAACAUUCCUUGGGUUUCACAGAUGCUGAAGCCAAUGACUUGCUUGAAGCCUGGAAGAGGGUGUUGACCUGGAGAAUCCUAAAGGCCAAAAUUUAGAGAAAAUGGUGCCAGUAAAUGAAUUCACAAGGAGAAAUGCUUCCUUGCCAACUCACUUCUCCAGAUUAUUGAGUGCAUCUAUCUGUUUGCUUUUGGCUUCACGCAAUUGGCCCUCUUCAGUUCCGUACUCUUUCCUAAAUACCUUGCAAGUUUUCCUCUUCUCUCAUGCCAUUUAUAAUAUGCUGACGCCUGAUUAGAGGAAGGAAGGACUCAGCUGCACUUGCACUGGGGGAAGGGCCACUUACAGGAAGCCUACCUGGGGCUGAGCUGGGUCUCACUGCCUCCUAGACCUAAGGGCCCCAGCUUUUCCCUCAUCUCUUGUUGCAGCCACCACUUGUUCUAGAUCUGCAUCCAUAUCUGUAAAAUGGGGGUGAUAAUACCUUCCCAUAAAGUCACUGUGAGGAUUAAAUGUCCGGCACAAUAUUUGA